UACAGACUAAAGGCAAUUUAAGUCAUCAGGAAUUAGAAAAAAUAAUUGAAAAUAUUGAAGACGCGCGUUUUAAAGGAACGUCAACCCCUUUAAAAAAUCUGUAUAUGCAAAAGUUGAUACCGAGAAGUCUACAUUACGUCACAUACGACGGGUCAAUCACACAUCCCGGAUGUCAUGAAACUGUCACGUGGAUGAUAAUGAACAAACCGAUAUACGCAGGAUCACAACAGAUUGAAGCUUUCCGGAAGCUGCGUCAAAGCGGUCCUGAAAACCCGAUGGCAUUCUUCCGAGACAACUUCCGGCCAACUAUGCCUGUUAACAGGCGAUCCAUUAGAACAAAUAUAAACUUUGCCAAAGGGUGUUCUAUGGAAAGAAAUAUGCAUUACCAAGUGAAUGAUUUGUUCAAACAUUGAAAGGAGAUGGACUAUCCUUUCAGUCACCUUUCCCAAAUAUUGGAGUGUGACGGGGAACCUGGACACGGAUCUGUGGUCUGACGUCACCACCCUCAAGUAGGACCCGAGAUGACGUCAUGCAGGACGAAUGUAACAGGAAAACCUUGAGGAAACAGGUUGAUAACUAUGACGACAGCUAUAGACGUCUCCAGGUCGCCAUUUUGAAUUAUUGUGAUCGAAAAUGGAUUAGUUCUCGAACCGAACUUGUACAUCACUGUGUGAUUCGAAAGCUUGGAUCCACUUUCUGGAGCUUGGAACUCGUGAAUUCAAUCGUCCAUGUUGAUUUUUUUUUUAAAUAGACCUCGAUGACUAGAGCCUUAAAACAGGACUCGAGGGAAGUGAGCCGAAAUAAUCUGUCCUUGUUUCUAUGAUGUUUCCUGGAGAACAACUCGACACAUAUUAACUUUCGGUAAGGACGAUCUUAAGCAUGACAACAUGAUACAUUUAAAGAAAUGACUACUUCCUAAAUAUAUUACGGUGCUUGUUGUGCAUAUUUACAAUAUCCAGUGGUAAAUAUCAUUCGAUUAAUAUGUCCGAUAAGGAAAAUCUACAAAGUUAGCACACCCACAAGGUCAAAACAGACCUAAAACAGUUUGGCUAACACAAAUAUAGCCGUAUUGGGUUACGGUGUGAACAAUUUUGUGUAUCAUUUUUUUCAAAAUGCAUAUAUGGUUAUGAAUUUGUCAUUAAACUAAGGCAAUGGUCGAGUUUUGAGUGAAAAAGCUUCAUUAAACAGUUAAGUCUUGUUUUCAUGCAAGAACUAAAGACGGUAUAGACUACAAUUGAGACAUAUAACAUAUGAUCGACAUUUAUAACCGACAUCAGAGCCAUAUAUAUAUAUAUACAUAUGUGUGUGUGUGUAUGUGUUGUAUUGUAGGUCUUUGGUGUGACUUACAAAGGUGCUUCAAUGGUGUCGCACAGCGUGAAUUUAGAAUGUUUGGUUUGGGCACUAUAUGUAAAGUCUUCCUAACAAUCAUAGAGUAAAAGAUUGUAAUAGCUCGUUUUCCAUCUAAAAAAAUGUUUGUGACAGUUUGUUCAUACAUGUGGUUAUACGGAGAAUGCCUAUUUUGACGAUUUUACAUGACAAGAAAAAUGCUUAAAUCAAAAUGUUUUUCUUCUUCCAGUGAUAAAAAAACAACAUUUUUUUCAUAUGCAUAUAGAUUAUCCUCAAACUCACAGCAUAAAUCACCAUCGCAUUAUUUCUAAUCUUUGAAGAAUACAAAGAAAAAGCAUAUUUUCUAUAUUUAUCAAAAACAUAUUAUCUUCACAACAAAUUAGCUUUAACUUCCAGAAUCGAAACAAAAUAGACGAGGUGACUUAACAUGCGUCAGGCGUUACAUAUUUUACCUCUGAAUGUCUAAAGUAAUAAGAGUCAUAUCAAGGUUGAGUUAAGCCUACAAAUGCAUAGUCUUCGAAAUGUGUCUUUUCGAGUGACAGGUCUCUUCCCAGAGAUUUCGAAAUAUCUAAUGACGGUCUGGAUGUGCUGGUUGUAGCGGAGAUCAACCCGACAGUGUGUCUCCUGCUUAUAAAACGGUAAUUGGGCAUUAGACGCGUCUCACAAGAUCGAUGUAACAUUUUCAAAUCAAAGCUAAAGGCAUUUUUCUUUGAAGACCAAAUGAAUAAAGAGCUUUCUUAUGAACUACGAAGAACUGCUGAAAUCACAUAUUUUCAUUUCAUUUUUAAACAAGGAUAUGCCAUUAUAUUUUGUUAUCUGACCUCAUUUAAUGACCUGAUUACAAUAACCAACAUACCUAGCUUACCAGUUAAUGACCAAUUAAGCGGUUAACACCUCUCCUAUAUAUGUAAUCACAUACCAGUAAAUGGUCAGUUGAUAUUUCACAUACUGUUUAAUAACUGGAUUACCAGUUACUAACUAGCAUACCAUUAAAUGACCAAUUAUUGGUAAGUAACUCCUUUGAACGCAAUUAUGUUUAUACUACUGGCCCUUAAAACCAGUAAAUAACCCACACACUUGUAAAUUGACUCAUAAACUCAAAAAUUACCCGCAUACCAGUCAGACAACCCCAAACUACAUUGCUCUUUUUUAAUAUCAAAUUAUGAAAAUAUAUUUUUUUACUUAAAAAAAAAGAAAGAAAAAAAGAAACAAAGCCCUGUUUCAUCAGUGUUUUGCACGGCAUUCCCUAAUAAAGAAACACAUAUGGAAUAAAUAUCAGUGUUGCAAAGACAUCUGUAGAUAUAAUGCAUAUUUUAGGUAGUUUAUAAACUCGCAUUGUUUAUCAAUAUUGAAAAAUGGACAAUUGAAAACAACAGAUAUUUCAUGAGCAUUACAGAAUAUCAAUAUUUUCUGUCAUACCAGUGAAAUAAAUGUUGUAUUCAACGGAUGACCAUUCAAUUUAUAUUUGCUUCAUUUUUAAAUAGAAAGAGAGAGACAGAGACAGAGAGAGACAGAGAGACAGACACAGAGAGAGACAAAGGAAGAGACAGAGAGAGAGACAGACAGACAGUUAGAGAGAGAGAGACAUGUGGCAAAAGAGGUGUGGGAGAUAACAGCAUCAUAUUUGACGUUUUACCUGGUACGUUUUGCUUGUAAUAAUGUUGCCAAACGAUUAUUUAAUUUGAGGACUACUGCCUUCGCUUCAUUUGGAUCUGAACUGAAAUUCGGUGGAUAUUUUCAUUGCGGUGAAUAUAAAGAACCGUUUGGAUUGGUGAACCAAGUUAUUUAUGAGUGUAGACUGGAUUACCUGCCUUAAUACUUUUUCUCACCGCUUGACUGCGCUUAUGAGAAACGAUGCCAAGCGGACAUAAGAAAAAAGCUACGGCAAGUAAUGAAUUUAGUCUUACCCUAGUGAGGAUAUAAGCAGUGAGGAUAUACGAUUUUAUCAAAGGGAUAAUUUCUGAUAUUCCAAGGGUAAAAAUGAAAGAAAAAAUUAUUUUCACAAAUCAAAUGUCAUUAUAACAUUAAUAAAGACAUCACCUAAAUGUUUAACAGUGUAGAUAUCUGUAUAUAACAGUGGUAUAAGUUGUAUAUAGAUAUCUGUACAUAAUAGUAUUAUAAACAUUAUAUGGAUAUCUGAUUAUAACAGUGUUGUAAUCAGUAUAUAGAUAUCUGAUUAUAACAGUGUUCUAAACAGUAUAUAGAUAUCUGAUUAUAACAGUGUUGUAAUCAGUAUAUAUA